UAAGCUGUUGUAAGGAACGUCUGUGUUCGGCAGUUAUUUUUAAGAAGAUAUGAUUAUUUUAAUGCGUGGUCCAUCGAGCGCACUAUGAGGCUGCUGCGCCUCUAUGUUCUGUGCUUGGGCGUCUGCUUGUCCGCGGCCGGAGGCGACGAACAAAAAAGAUGUGUCAUCACGGAAAUGAAAAAUAAGAUUGAAAAACUAACAAAGGAAACACUAGGAAAACCCCUUUACCUGUGGUCUGGUCCUUCUCUGUCUUCGGUGACUUUCGUGCUGUUUUUAAGAAAUAACAGUGGAGGUGAUGAAGCAAGCGAGACUGUCAAUUUGAAGAAUGAGACUCAGCUUCUUCUUAAGAGAUGGACCACGAUAGAAU